UACAGUUCUUUGAGGAUGCCUGCCAUAGAUGCAGGAGAAACGUCAGGAGAAAAUGCCUGUGGAACAAAACCUUCGACACCACAACCAGCAACGAGUUGGCCUCUGCCUGGAUUUGUUGGAACUGUGCUGACUUAAAUAUGAGACCGAGGAAUGGGAUCAUACAUCAUGGAAAAAAAAGCAAUCCAAAGAACUGUAAUGCAACCAAGAGUGCUGUACAGCCCAGAAGUGAAGAAUCAUACACUAUGUCCCAAAAUAGUGUUGUCAUGUUCAUCCAUCUCUUCAAAAAUUCAUUAUGAAAACAUUUUUUCUAGCUCUCUGAUUUAAUUCUGCCACAACUUGGGCCUUCCUUGGUUAUUGUCUGUCUUUUAACAGAAAAGUGGGCAAUUUGUGACCCUCCAGAUGUAGUUGGAUUUCAUCUCCCACCAUCUCCCACCAUUUGCUAAGUUGACUAAGGAAAAUGAAUAUUAUAGUCCAACAUUGGAGAGCUGUAAGUGGGGUGAGUAGAUUGAAUAAAGCUGUUGUUACUAUCACCCACUUGCCUUACUAGUUUUGUCCCUCCUAGCAGACUGCCCAUUCUGAUUUUAACAACAGAGCACUAUCAUUUUCCAUUUUGUCUUAACGUGGACUUUUGCUCUAAAGAACUUGCACUCUAGUGAUUUUACAAUCUAAUCAUUGCUUUGUUAUAUAAAAUGAAUUUAUAGACAGAGUUCCCAUCUGUGGAACUCCCUCCCUAAUGAAAUCAGAUCGGCCCCCUCACUUCUGUCCUUUAGGAAAAAAUUUAAAACAUGGUUGUGGGUCCAGGUACUCAAGCAGCAGACACAGCGAUAAUAAUGAGAAUGAUUUAUAUGAUUGACAAUGGACAGACCUUGGACUAUGACUUUGAACUUGUGUAAUUUUAGAUGGAUGUUUUUAUAAUUGAUGUUAUAACUAUUUGUUUUAAACCGUAAUUGUUUCAUAAUUGUUGUGUUUGGCAUCUAAUGAUUGCCGGUUGUGAGGCUGCCCUGAGUCCCCCCCCCCCCCCCCCCGUCCCCCUGGGGGUGAGAGGGAUGGAAUACAAAUGUAUGAAAUAAAUAAUAAAUAAAUUAUAUAAACUAUUAUAUGACUUUUUAUAGAAGGGGAAGAGAUAUAGGGAAAACAAGAAAAGGAUCUUUUG
rnacentral:lncRNA from 1 species